AUGGCACCGGUCACAAGCUCACAUAGUCAUGUUUUAUAUAUCUGGUACUACCAGACUUCGGGACUACAUAAUUGAAUUCCAAGUUGUAUAAGAGAAAUAAGCUUUGUAAUUUUCUAAUAACAUUUUCAAAAAAUAAAUAAUUCAUCAAAAAUAUAAAAUAUAAAUAAGUAUAAACAAUAGAAUAUUUAAAAUAUCGUAUUGUGCCUGUGCGUUUAUAUGUGUGUAUAUAGAUAUGAAAAAGAUAUUUUAAAUUUAUCUUGUAAUCGAUUAUAAUUUAAUAAAGCUAGUAUAUUGUAUUAAUUAAAUAUAUUAAAACUUACGCUUAUACAAUCCAUAACAUAUUCAUAUCAAACAUCUAAAUACUAUAAUACAUUUCCACUUUUGUAACUUUUAUGAUGAUGCUAAAACACGUAGUCAUAGGUGGUGGUACAGGUUUUAUUGGGACACAGAUAAUAAGUUUAUUAUCUCGUAAAGGAGUUCCUUAUACAUGUAUUUCUCGCAUGCCUGGGCCAAAUCGAAUUUCAUGGCAUGAUUUGGAAUGUCAUGGUUUACCUGAAAAUACAACUGCUGUAAUCAACGUUGCUGGCCAGAAUAUACUCGAUCCAAAACAGCGAUGGUCAGAAGGAUUUAAACAAAAUGUUAUAAAUAGUCGAGUAGAGACAACAAAAUCUUUAGCUAAAGCUAUAAUACAUACUAAAGCUAAUGCUUUUGUAACAAUUUCUGGAGUUUCUUACUAUAAACCAAAUGAUACAGAAUACACUGAAGAAAGCAAAUGUGAGAAAUAUGACUUCCUAUCAGAACUCUGUCAUGAAUGGGAAGAAGCUGCACAACUUCCGAAAGAUAGCAAUAUCAGACAGAUCACAAUUAGGUCAGGAGUUGUAUUAGGAAAAAAUGGCGGUAUGAUUAAAGAAAUAUAUUUACCGUUUUUUUUUGGAUUGGGUGGCCCUAUUAGUAGUGGAGAUCAAUAUAUGCCAUGGAUACACAUAACAGAUUUAGUAAAUUUAUUUUUGUUCUCAAUUGAGAAUGAGAAUGUAUAUGGUAUACUAAAUGGUGUUGCCCCCCAGAUUGUAACAAAUAAGGAAUUUACUAAAGCAUUUGCAUCUGUAAUGCAAAGACCUGCAUUUAUUCCUGUACCACGCAUUAUUUUGAAUAGCUUGUUCAAUAAAGAACGGGCAAAGAUUAUGUUGGAGGGACAGAAAGUUAUUCCUAAACGUGUCAAAGAAUUAGGAUUUCAAUACCAAUAUCCUGAUAUUAAUUGUGCUUGCGCUGAAGUACUUGGCAAAAAUAAAUAAUCAUAAAUCGAGAUUAGAGAGCUAAUUGAAGUAAUAUGAAUCACCAUGAAUGCCAGAACUCAGUUAUUUGAAUUAAGUAUGGAGGGCAGACAAGUGGAUGAAGCGGUAGCAAGUAUAUUUCAUAGUGUUCUUUUCCAUCGAAGUCUUGGUAAAUUUAAGUACAAGCAAGAAGGUUUUUCUGAAGCUUUGCGUUCUACUGAUAGUCCAGGUUCUGGCCAAAUAUCCCUGGAAUUCUUU